rnacentral:rRNA from 1 species
GUGGGGAAUCUUGCGCAAUGGGCGAAAGCCUGACGCAACCAUGCCGCGUGAAUGAUGAAGGUCUUAGGAUUGUAAAAUUCUUUCACCGGGGACGAUAAUGACGGUACCCGGAGAAGAAGCCCCGGCUAACUUCGUGCCAGCAGCCGCGGUAAUACGAAGGGGGCUAGCGUUGCUCGGAAUUACUGGGCGUAAAGGGCGCGUAGGCGGACAGUUUAGUCAGAGGUGAAAGCCCAGGGCUCAACCUUGGAAUUGCCUUUGAUACUGGCUGUCUUGAGUACGGGAGAGGUGAGUGGAACUCCGAGUGUAGAGGUGAAAUUCGUAGAUAUUCGGAAGAACACCAGUGGCGAAGGCGACUCACUGGCCCGUUACUGACGCUGAGGCGCGAAAGCGUGGGGAGCAAACAGGAUUAGAAACCCGGGUAGUCC